GCUUCUAAAGGAUUAUAGUAAUCCUUUGGUCUUAGGAACCAAAACCUCUUGGUGCAACUCCAAGUGGAAGCU